UCGUUACGACCAUAUCUACGACAUCAACCGCCGUCGAAUCGCCUGCCGGGUUCAACGUGGCGAAUAGGUAGUUGAUUGUGCUGUAUUACCAGCAGGCGAAGAUGUCCAAGAAAUUUAACCAGAAGGAGGAUGAGAUUCAGAAAGUUCCGGAGAGAUAUCUUGGUACCUUUCUUGGCCAAUCCUUGCUUGAGCUCUUCAAGAGUUAUCGUACCACUGCUGUCGGUAUCCAUCCCUUUGAACAUCUCUUUCAAUCCCAUGAUUUCUUCCUCCGACAGGCAUCCGGCGAUAACCUGUAAAAUUCCCCGACCAGUAACUUCGCCGAAGAAUAGCCUAUUCAGAACAGCAUUGUCUAUAGGAGUAUCGGGCGCCUCGCCAUCCUCCUUGAUCCAUGGAUGAUCUUAGAAACACGAAAAACCAAGAACUCAGCGACGACAAGAAACCAUCUUGUCGGAAAUUAGAUUGUACCUGCCCAGAAUGGAGGAACUCCGCUGAGUAAGAUGUACAGCAUCACGCCGAUACUCCAAAUAUCAACCUCUGGCGAUCGUUGGAAUCGCGAACCUUCUUUGUAGAACACGGAGAGCCCGAAAUCUGUGGCCUUGAGAGGCGAAUUCUCAUCCUUAUUGAGCAGCAAGAAAUUCUCGGGCUUAAGAUCUCUGUGAAUGACUCCCAUGGAAUGACAG